UUUAUCGAACCAGCCCGAAAGUCUGUUCAUGUAAUGCAUUUUAAGUUCCAGAAAUUGUCAAUUUUUUCAACGUUCGUUUUGCUUUUAUCAUUCUGAGAUCUCUAAUUGGCAUAAUUUUUUCUUGUGCUUACCCUGGCUUCAGUGUUACUUCGUGUGGUUGAAAAGGAGAUAGCUCCGACUUCAUAUAGAGUACUUCUUCUUCGAAGAUGAAGAGUAUCUGCGAGGUGAUGGAUGGAACUGACUCGCUGGCACAAGAUCGGCCAAAGAAAUACUUCAUAUUGUUACGGAAGAGAAGAGACGUCGUAUCGACGAGGCUGUGGAUGAAAUAUAUUUCAAACGAGCAGCAGCGGCUUGAUCAGUUGACCAGCCACCAAGCGGAGGCAGCCCUUCGUCCUCUUUGUCAGGCACAAACGUGCAUCGUCCCACAAAAUGUCCAAAUACAUGUAGCAUAAUCCCCGGUG